rnacentral:rRNA from 1 species
AUCCCCAUGGCAGUGGCGUAGGCGGGUGGUGGCGCUGAGCCCGACAAUGGAUGCACUGGUCGCUCCCGUGCGUGGUGGUGGGGGAGGUGCGCAGGUGGGCGACGGUGGUCGAGCUGCGCAGGUGGUCGGUGGUGAUCGCCUCCGUGGUGGCGGUGCAGGCGGGCGGCGGCAUUGGACCUGAUGGUGGCUCGUGCGGGCGGUGGUGUUGGACGAUUUUUCUUUUUGUUGCAAAAAUUAUAACGAACUACAUCCGCGACAAGUUUUUCUUUAGUUUUUAUGUCUUGACUCGUACUCUAUCAUGUUUUUAAUUUAUUUAUCUGAAUCAGAAACCGAAUCAGUAUUUCUUUCACCUGACAUGUGGGGGGGCGUCCAAACAAACUAUCUGUACCACGUGACCAGGUACAGGUGCGUCAGAGCUCUUAAUAGAGCCAACCUCCGUCCGCUCCCCCGUCAUGAAUUGUAUGUACGUACACUGUGAGCCUGCAGUGUAUAAAUCUUUUUCAAUUCCUGUAUUCCUUCGGCAGUGACCUGCAGCACACAUCCCCAUGCUUGUCUGGGCGGCUCAUAUUUCAGGUUCACCUGGACCCGAGAGCCAAAACGCCACUCCCGAAAAGAACGACACUUCUUGGUCAAGUUGCACAGCCCAAGGCAUUGCUUAAGUUGAGUUGAAAUGAAUAAAACAGACAGAACAAUUUAUCAAGGGAAAACCCCUAGAGUCAAUCCGCUCUUAAUUUUCAAACAAACUAGUGGCUAGUUUGUAUUCUGUUAAUUGACACAUCAUUCAGCACCAUAAUGGCGUCGGGUGUGUGUACCUUUCAAUCAGCCUAGCUAGUGUAAAAGAAGGACCCUUACUAAUUUGAGGUGGAGCACUGUUGCUUGCCAGCUUAAAAACCUCUAUAUCCAAGCACCACCACGAGUUACUGAGAAAGUUCAAACCCCGAUGCUCCUUCCAGCUCUGGGUGGCUGGGUAUUCUUCCAAGCUCCCAUCCAUGGCUUCUCUCGUCUUCCUCCUCCUAUUCGGCCAAAUCCUACUCUGCACAGCCGUCGACACCAUCACCUCCACCACACCGUUGUCCGGGUCACAGCAGAUUGUGUCCCAGGGCAGCAAGUUCACCUUGGGCUUCUACUCCCCACCGCAAGGUAACACCACCUCUAGCAAUUACUACAUAGCCAUAUGGUACAGCAACAUACCACUGGUGACCACGGUGUGGACGGCAACCACCGAUGUGCCAGUGUCUGACCCGACCACCGCCUCCUUGGAGAUCGCCAGCGACGGCAACCUUGUCCUCCUUGAUCAAGCCAAGAACCAGCUGCUAUGGUCGACCAAUGAAAGUAUAGCCUCCAACUCCACCAUGGCCACCAUCAGAGAUAGCGGUAGCCUCGACCUCACUGACGCCUCGAAUUCAUCGAUAGUUUACUGGCGAAGCAUAGACCAUCCAACAAACACCUGGCUUCCAGGGGGAAAACUCGGGCGGAAUAAGAUCACCAGUGUGAGCCAGAGGCUUGUUGCUUGGAAGAACAUGGCAGACCCGUCUCCAGGGUUGUUCACGCUGGAGCUGGACCCAAAUGGCACACCACAGUUUUUCAGCCAGUGGAAUUCGUCCAUAACCUACUGGUCCAGCGGCCCUUGGAAUGGCUAUAACUUCAGCUUUUCACCGGAGAUGACAACCACUUACGCAUACGAAUCCCGAUUCAUCAACAACGACACAGAAGGCUAUCUGUUCUACUCGCUCAAGGAUGUCUCGGUUGUCUCGCGGUUCAUCAUUGACGUCGGCGGACAGAUCAAGCAGCUGAGAUGGUUGGGAUACUCACAGCAGUGGGUCGUGUUCUGGUCCCAGCCAUGGUCACAGUGUGAGGUGUAUGCGCUCUGUGGGGCAUACGGCAGCUGCAACCUCAAUGCCCUGCCCUACUGCAACUGUGUCCAGGGGUUCAGCCAGAAGGUUCAGAGUGACUGGGACCUCCAAGAUUACAGUGGUGGGUGCAAGAGGAAUACACCAUUGCAGUGCCAGACCAACUCAACUUCUGCACAGGCUCCAUCUGAUAAGUUCCAUGUCAUGGAAGAUGUGCGCCUACCUGAUAAUGCUCAGGAUGCAGUGGCUACAAGCUCUCAGGAAUGUGAGGUGGUUUGUCUUAAUAGUUGCUUUUGCACUGCUUACACUUACAAUUACACUGGGUGCUUUGUUUGGCAUGGGGACCUGAUUACUCUCCAAGAUCAGUACAGGGGAAUUGGAGGAGGCACACUCCUCCUCAGGCUAGCAGCAUCCGAGCUACCAGAUCAGCAAAGGAAGAAAACAACGAUCAUUGGCUCAGUUGUUGGCGGACUUGCUGCAGUUUUGAUAAUCCUUGCAGUUGUGUUGUUCUUCAUAUCUCAGAAGUUCCGCCGAGACAACUCUUCGGAUAUCCGGAAAUGCUGGGGGUGCACUGACUGACUUCAAGUACAGUGAUUUGUUAAAUGAUAUUCAAAGCAUCGACUCUCUUCUUCUCGAUCUAUCAACACUAAGAGUGGCUACAAAUGACUUCAGCGAAGGAAAUAUGCUUGGUAAAGGAGGUUUUGGAAUGGUUCAUAAGGGAGUCCUACCUGACGGUAAACAAAUAGCAAUAAAAAGGCUAUGUAAGAGUUCCAGACAAGGAAUAGGGGAACUGAAAAGUGAACUAGUCCUGGUUGCUAAGCUUCGCCACAGGAAUCUUGUGAGCCUCAUUGGUGUUUGUUUGGAAGAACAAGAGAAAAUACUUGUGUAUGAAUUUAUGCCCAACAGAAGCCUUGAUACCAUUCUUUUUGAUUCUGAGAAACGCAAAGACCUAGACUGGGGAAGGAGAUUCAAGAUUAUCAGUGGAGUUGCUAGGGGAUUACAAUAUCUCCACGAAGAUUCUCAAUUGAAGAUAGUUCAUCGGGACCUGAAAGCAAGCAAUAUUUUGUUGGACUUUGAUUACAACCCUAAAAUUUCUGACUUUGGCUUAGCAAAGAUAUUUGGAGGGGAUCAAUCAGAAGAUGUCACUAGACGUAUUGCUGGGACAUAUGGAUACAUGUCGCCUGAAUAUGCCAUGCAUGGUCAAUACUCAGCAAAGUCAGACGCGUUCAGCUUCGGUGUUUUGGUUUUGGAGAUAGUCACAGGAAGAAGAAACAAUGGCUCCUGCAACUCCGAGCAAUAUAUUUAUCUUGUAAAUCUUGUAUGGGAGUACUGGACCAGGGGAAAUGUCAUCGAGCUGAUCGAUCCAUUGGUUAGCAAAGAACCUUCUCCCAUUGACCAGGUUCUGAAGUGCAUCCAGAUCGGGCUACUGUGUGUGCACAACAGACCUGAAGAUAGGCCGACAAUGUCGUCGGUAAAUGUCAUGCUUAGCAGCCACAAUGUCCCUCUCCCUUCUGUUUCCGUUCCAGCCUUCUGUGACGGAUUACAUGCAUACAGUGAUAAUUCGAAAGUGGCGUCUUUGAAUGGAAUGACCAUCACGAAGCUCGAGCCAAGAUGAGCCUUGAGGCAGUUGCUGAACCAGUUUGCACUAGUGUUACUAUACAGUAUUUAGAGACCAGCUCGAUGUACCUGGUGUCUUAAGUGUCGUGACUAUGAUGAAAAGUCAUAAUGCGCCUUGAACGACUACAUUUAUCAAUAACUGGAAAAUUUUAAGGGAGCCAAGAAAAUCAGAAAUGUAUAUGGGUUAUCCGUUGUCCGAUAUUUGAAUCCAAAGCGUGAACAUGGUUCUGUUAUCCAGGUGAAUAUUUUUGACUAUUCAAAUUGUUAUUCUAGUCAUUACCGUCCUGCACUAUCUGAAAGUUUCUGAUCAGGUAGUUGUGUAUAUGUCUAGAAUACUUGUGUGGUGGGGUUAGACUUUACUUGGCACCAGAUGUCUUUCCAUGUGUGAUCUGGGGGCAUUAUCAUGGAGAUGGAUUUUUUUUUUAUCUCAGAUGGCAUCGUAUAUUCGAUAUUGCUG